GAGUGGCCGCCUCCCUUGCCGCCGCCGCAUCUCCCGCCGCCUGCUGGCCUCUUCCCCGCCUCCCGCAUCCCUCGCCGAGAAACGCGCAGACGCACCUCUCCGCCACUCGGACGCAGCGGCUACCUCCGAUCGAGUUCUAAGGCGCGGCGGCCACCGCCGUUCUUGAUUUGUUUUGCGAGUUCAGCGAUGGCCAUCGUCUCCAACUAUUCAUGCCGGCGUUUCCCCAAGAUCGCGGCAAGAGCAACUACCAUUUCCAAAGCCGAGAAACGCGCUAGAGAUAUUUUAACUCCUAUAAAAGAGGCAUUUGGUGGCGGUCCUAGGUCGCGCACGUCUCUCCUUCUGUCCGUGGGACCUGCUUUACUGUUCCAACUUCCCGCAAGGUGUCUGUCCUUUCACGGUUCCACCCCCGUCAAGGUAGCAGCCGACCCGCGGAGACGACGCAGCGUGGGUUCUCGGGGCUAGCAUCCCAGCGAUUGACCCCGCCGGCGCUGCUGCCUCCUGCCACCGGCGCGAGAUCUCACCUCCUUUCUCCGCCGGUGCUACUCCCUUGCGCAAGGCCUCCCUCUCCUCCCUUCCUAGCUCGGUCAAGGCCUCCCUCUCCUCCCUUCCUAGCUCGGUCAAGGCCCCCCGAGCGCAAGGUGACCGGCGGUGGCCGCCGGCCCACAGAGCCAACGACGACGGCAAAACAAGGCGACCCGGCGGCCCCGCCCAUGCGAGAUCUCGCGGGAGUCGCCCUCAAAUUCAAUCCCGUCAGUUUCUUCAAUCCUUAAAUUCGUCGGUUUCUCCAAUCCUGUUGAAUUCAACCGCCGGUUAUAAUUGAAGAAUGAACUGGCUGAUAGCAUCAGAUUUUUGUUGAUGAUAUGCAAGAGAGUUUCCCGCGGUUUCAUCCCCGCGGCGCCGACGACCUCCCGCAGCGUCGAGAGCCUCAGACGAUGGCGCGUACGAUGAGCAGUUCCUCGAGCGGGAGAUGAUUGAGGCAAGCGGCUCGAGUUUUGGCGCGACAGAGGAGGACGGCGACGACGCUGGGGUGAACACGAAGGCGGACCACUUCAUAUUGGAUACAGUUCGUAUGGAUCGCCGUGAUUGGAUACAGUUCGUAUGUUUCUUAUGCCUCCUGUACAAGCAUGUGCAAGCUCGAUCAUCGAAUUAGUAUGUGUCUCCCGUGGCUUCCAUUCCCGUCAAGGUUUCGUAUGAUUGGGUAAUUAUAGCACAUGAUAGUAAUGCUUAUUUUGAACUGGUAAGGCAUUCAAAGUGAAAUCCUUUAUUUUAGUACUUCACUUUGAAUACCUUGCAUUCUGUAGUAUCAUUUACAUGCUGGUAAAAAGUCGUUUUAAGUUUCUGCUUUACAAAGCAUAGAAAUGAGAAUUUUAUUACUCCCUCCGAUCCAUAUUAAUUGUCUCAAAUUUUUCCAAAUAUGAAUAUAUCUAUGCCUAAAAAGUGUCUAGAUACAUAUAAUAUUUUGACAAGUAAUAUGGAUCGGAGGGACUAUUUCUGUAGCCACAUAUCAGUAUAUAUAUUUUGGCAUAUAAUCUCAUUCUGAAUUUUGGUUAGUAAAAUUUAUAUGUGCAUUCUUGAAUAUGUGUCAUCAAAGGGUUCGUAACAGAGCGAAAUCAAAUACUCCCUCCGGCCAGAACUUGUCACUAAUUUAGUACAACUUUGUACUAAAUCUGAGACAAGUAAUAUGGGUCGGAGGGAGUAGCAGUAUUUGGGCGAGCCCUCACUAAUCACCACCAAUUCGUAAUAAAACGAAGUCAAAUAGCAGUAUUUGGUCACAUAUUAUCCAUCAGUAUGUUGGUUCUCAUUAACUUUGUAUGCAGGAAGGUCUGAUUUUUCGAUUUGUCACUGAUUUCGUUCAUUAAUGUAUUGAACUUAGCUUUUCCACUUGAAUAAAAUUGGAUAACCACUUCAAUUUUAAUGAGGAAAUAACGUUGGCGAUCCCUGAACUUGGUUGUGGUGUUCACUUUAGUCCUUAAACUCACCGAAACGGCAGCGCGGUCACUAAACUUGGCCAUUUCGAAUCACCUGAAGUCUAACUGUGGGUUUCGGUCGUUAACCCUGGGUUAGGUCGCCACAUGGUGCUGAUGUGUCCAUGAUGGGACACACCCGAGGGGCCUAGAUGAAAGAUCGCCAUCGCCAGUUCAGAAGAAAAAAACUCAACUUCGUUUUUCUACAACUUCCAGAGCCCCCCACUUGAAUCACACAAGGUCCAACUAUGGGUUUCGUUCGUUAACCCUGAGCUUUUGCGAACUGGCGGUGGCAAAUUUUCAUUCAGGCCCCUCGGGUGUGUCCCAUCAUGGACACGUCACCGCCAUGUGGCGAGCUAACCCAUGGUUAAUGACGGAAACCCACAUUCGGACCUCGGGUGACUUCAGAUUGCCAAGUUUGGUGACCGCGGUGCUGUUUUUGCGAGUUUAAGUACUAAAGUGAACACCACUGCCAAGAUCGCUUUAUACGACAAUUGCAAGGAGGACGUGGUUGCAGAACUAGCUAGAGCAGAAUUGGUUCUGCAAUGGAUGAUAGCUUUCGCAUGGCGGCAUGACAUGAUGACAAAUAAUUUUCAAGUUUUGCCUUAGACUACGAAUUUUAUUUAUAAGUGUACUUUGCAACUGUAGCAAAGCAAGAAGACAUUAGUUUUCUCCUACAGGAGGAUCUGUUAUGGAUGUGUUUCCUUUCUACACAAGGGAAUGGACUUUUUAUGUCAAGCACUAAUCUAUUCGUCUUGUUAAUA